CUGUGUCUCCUCUUCAUUUUCCCCUCAGCCCCUGCUGCCUGGUGUCUCCCCAGCCUGAAGCACUCCCCAGCUGGUCUCUUGCUGGGCCUUGGAGGCUGCUGACCACAGGAUUCGAGUUACAAUGCUCAUGCCCUUGACAUCUCCCCAGCCCUGCACCCCCAGGGGCCACUCCACUUUGUGGAGAUUUCUGCUUGGGGUCCUCUGUGGGUCUCUCCUCCUGCAUCUAACCUCGGUGCCGGUGUUCCUAGGUUCUCCCCUGGCUCUAGUGUGCCACUGUCCCUCUAGCUUCUGUUAACGACACCCUCCAUCAGUUGGCCUCAGCCCCAGCUUUGUGUCAUGCUCACCUCUCCUGCUGCCUCCCGGGUGCUUGCCUUUAACCGUGGCCGACCCCCCACCUUAUCGCCACGUCCACCAGCCUUUCCUCCAUCAUGAAUUAUCAACCCUCUUGUCUACCCAAGCCCCUCUGCUCUUCUUCUGCCUCACACCCAGCACAAGCUGCUCCUCUCCGAGCUCAUCAGCUCUGGAUCCCUCAAAUGGGUCCAUUCUCUCCACCUUCAGGUACCCACCUGGUUCAGCCACCAUCUUUUCCUGCCUCUGUUCCUCUAAGAGCUGCCCUCUAGCCUCCUGCCUCCUGCCUGCCUCCAGCCAGUCUCCACCAUACAAGCGGAACCAGUUUUCCAAAGCACCUGUUGGCUUCACAUAUUUUAGUUGCCCCCACCCAUCAGCCCCCUGCCC
rnacentral:lncRNA from 1 species